UACGUAGGGUGCAAGCGUUGUCCGGAAUUAUUGGGCGUAAAGAGCUUGUAGGCGGUUUGUCGCGUCUGCUGUGAAAUUUCGGGGCUCAACCCCGAACUUGCAGUGGGUACGGGCAGACUAGAGUGUGGUAGGGGAGACUGGAAGUUCCUGGUGUAGCGGUGGAAUGCGCAGAUAUCAGGAGGAACACCGGUGGCGAAGGCAGGUCUCUGGGCAUUAACUGACGCUGGAGGAGCGAAAGCAUGGGGAGCGAACAGG
rnacentral:rRNA from 1 species